UGGGGGAUAUUGCACAAUGGGCGAAAGCCUGAUGCAGCGACGCCGCGUGGGGGAUGAAGGCUUUCGGGUUGUAAACCUCUUUCGCUAUCGAACAAGGCCCGCUUAGGGUGGGUUGAGGGUAGGUGGAGAAGAAGCGCCGGCUAACUACGUGCCAGCAGCCGCGGUAAUACGUAGGGCGCGAGCGUUGUCCGGAAUUAUUGGGCGUAAAGGGCUUGUAGGCGGCUUGUUGCGCCUUCUGUGAAAACGCCGGGCUUAACUUCGCGCGUGCAGUGGGUACGGGCAGGCUUGAGUGUGGUAGGGGUGACUGGAAUUCCAGGUGUAGCGGUGGAAUGCGCAGAUAUCUGGAGGAACACCGAUGGCGAAGGCAGGUCACUGGGCCAUUACUGACGCUGAGGAGCGAAAGCAUGGGUAGCGAACAGG
rnacentral:rRNA from 1 species